UUGGCAGUUACCAGCUUCUGUACAUUCUCUUUCAGAGGAAGCAUGGUCCUUUUCUUUUCCAACUCAUUUGUCUCCUUGACUUUUGCUACCUCUGUUCUUAGACCAUCUAUUGAUUUAGAUGUCUGGGCAUGAGCAGGAUGAAAUGUCUUCAGAUAAAGAAUUGUGCCUUUGAGGCUUGACAUAACAUCAGAGUUUGAAAUUUUAUUCUCUGCCAUAGACAAAAAUUCUUCAGCUUUAGUUGUCUCCAGAGAAUGCUGAUGACUAAGCCAGAGUUUAUCCCAUACUUCAUUUGGAGGAUCAACUUGAAGAUCCCUGGGAAGUGGCUCAGAGUCUGUGGUCAGAGUUUGUAGCCUGGCAGUAUACUGGCUAGUAGACUCCCACUUUUGUUGAGUCAAAGGAACUCCAUCAUUUCCAUCAUUUUCAGAGGAACUAUCAUCAUCCUCAGUAUCAGCCUCAGAGUUUGCUUUGUCAGCAUCAGGAACAGGAUCA
rnacentral:lncRNA from 1 species